GACGUAGGGCGCGAGCGUUGUCCGGAUUUAUUGGGCGUAAAGGGCGCGUAGGCGGUUCGUUAAGUCCUGUGUGAAAUCCCCCGGCUCAACUGGGGAACUGCACAGGAAACUAGCGGGCUUGAGUUCGGGAGAGGGAAGCGGAAUUCCGGGUGUAGCGGUGAAAUGCGUAGAUAUCCGGAGGAACACCGGUGGCGAAGGCGGCUUCCUGGACCGACACUGACGCUGAGGCGCGAAAGCUAGGGGAGCAAACGGG
rnacentral:rRNA from 1 species